rnacentral:rRNA from 1 species
UACGUAGGCAGCAAGCGUUGUUCGGAGUUACUGGGCGUAAAGGGUGUGUAGGCGGUUCUUUAAGUUUGGGGUGAAAUCUCCCGGCUCAACCGGGAGGGUGCGCCGAAUACUGAGGGACUCGAGUGCGGGAGAGGAAAGUGGAAUUCCUGGUGUAGCGGUGAAAUGCGUAGAUAUCAGGAGGAACACCGGUGGUGUAGACGGCAUCCUGGACCGACACUGACGCUGAGGAGCGAAAGCCAGGGGAGCAAACGGG